rnacentral:misc_RNA from 1 species
UUUCCGUAGGUGAACCUGCGGAAGGAUCAUUAAUGUGUUUGGGCCUCACGGCUCUUCAUUCCGACGCUGUGCGCCUUCGGGCUGCACGCUGAGGGAGCAUAUAUCCACCCCUGUGCACACACACGGUGGCGAGCUGGGUAACGGCUCGCCGCUGAUCUUUACACACGUCUAAAAGUCAUUGUAUGUUUAUUUGAGAUAAAAACACAACUUUCAGCGACGGAUCUCUUGGCUCUC